rnacentral:rRNA from 1 species
GAUGAACGCUGGCGGCGUGCCUAAUGCAUGCAAGUCGAGCGAACAGAUGAGGAGCUUGCUCCUCUGACGUUAGCGGCGGACGGGUGAGUAACACGUGGAUAACCUACCUAUAAGACUGGGAUAACUUCGGGAAACCGGAGCUAAUACCGGAUAAUAUAUUUAACCGCAUGGUUCAAUAGUGAAAGACGGUUUUGCUGUCACUUAUAGAUGGAUCCGCGCCGCAUUAGCUAGUUGGUAAGGUAACGGCUUACCAAGGCAACGAUGCGUAGCCGACCUGAGAGGGUGAUCGGCCACACUGGAACUGAGACACGGUCCAGACUCCUACGGGAGGCAGCAGUAGGGAAUCUUCCGCAAUGGGCGAAAGCCUGACGGAGCAACGCCGCGUGAGUGAUGAAGGUCUUCGGAUCGUAAAACUCUGUUAUUAGGGAAGAACAAAUGUGUAAGUAACUAUGCACGUCUUGACGGUACCUAAUCAGAAAGCCACGGCUAACUACGUG